GAAAUAAAACAGAGACCAGAUGAGUCACAUCAGUUUAACUUUAACCUCUUUUAACUGAACAAUGGUGAAUUAUGUGAUAAUUGCUCUGUUUCUCCUAGCAUUUGAUUUUGGUGUGAUGGCUGUGGAUCAGAUUGGGCCAAAUAAAGGUGCAGAUAUUAAUGCUGGAGAAGGAGAGACUGUGACUCUGAGCUGCUCAUAUGAUACCAGCAGCAGUGGUGUAACACUUUACUGGUACAGACAACAUCCUUACAAAGAGCUUCAGUAUUUAAUAUGGAAAGACGCUCGCUCAUGGAGUCAGACUGGUAAUCCCACUGAUCCUCGAGUUAAAUCAACAACAUCUCAAUCAUCCACUGAACUCAUUAUUACUGGUGUAACACUGUCAGAUUCAGCUCUAUAUUACUGUGCUAUGAGGGUUGGAGCCCAGUGAUACAAAGUCUAUGUGAAGCUGUACAAAAACUAAAAUAUAUUUUUCUCUUUGAACCUAAACCACAUCAAAACCACAAUCUGUAACACACAGAAAGUAAUACAUUAAGUUGAAAACACCUGUGUGUGAUUGUCACAAGACAUUUUA